ensembl:snRNA U6 U6 spliceosomal RNA
AUGCUCGCUUCGGCAGCACGUACACUAAGAUUGGAACGAUACAGAGAAGAUCAGCAUGGCUCCUUUGCAAGGAUGAGACACAAAUUUGUGAAGCAUUCCAUGUUUUU